GGGAAGUCUUUUGUAGACUAAGCUGUUAGAGUGGUAUUUAUGAUGUAACAUAUCCUUGCAGGGCAAACAGCAAGACUGCAGUUUUGAGUACAGGGGCAAAAUAAUGUUUGGAGGAUUAUGAGUUUGUCCCUGUUUUAUUCCACUCACAGAACUACCCCGUAGCAGACAAUCAGAAAUCCCAGAACUGGAAACUAACACAGGAAGACACGGUUGACGAACAGUGUUGAGAAGCGUGAAUUCAGGAACAGAGUCCAGGAGUACAAUUCCAACUCCAAGUAUAAACAUAAGGGAUUUCCCAAGCCAAGGUCACAGGCAAGAAAAGUCUUGCAUGGUACCUAGUAAAAGGAAAACAAGCUGGUUAUCUACAGUUUCUAACUCUUAGGGAUAUAACCUGUACAGGUGUGUAAGAUGCUAACUAGGGGCCAUGCAGAACGAACACUGAAGUGUUCUCUAAUCUUAGCUUUAAAAUUAAGCUGCUAAUUGCUGUGAAUGCUUAAGCAAGCCAGAUAAUGUGUCUUAAGUUGCACUUAAGCAUUAUUGAAGCACAAAGUGCUUCCCAGAUAUCUUUUCUUUCUGGAAGUAAUACAGCUUUGCAUUUUUGUGCAGAGAACAUAUGCCCAAUCUCAUCCACAGCUGUGUUCUCCUUUGCCUUUGCAGGCAAAGAUUUCUCCCUCUGGAUUUCCAUCUCUGCCUUGGGCUAAACCUCUAGCAGUGCUGUCUGGACAUGAUGUUUCACUCAGGUCUUUAUGUCCAUAGAGCUAAUAACAUUCAAUAUGUCACUUUUACCCAGCCUGUUUACUUGCACAGCACAGGAUUGUUUAUGGCCUCUGUCUAAAAUACUGGAAGCAGAGGUUACAAAUAAAGCUGGUUUUAACUCCUACAGAUUUUAUGGUUCUGGAUCCUAUUCCUAUCCAGUGGUACCUAGGUAUGUAACAGACUUUAAAAACAUUCACAGCAACAUCCCUCUUUUUAAAGCUAGCCACCUGUCGAACCUCCUGUAAAGGCCACAGUCCCACAGAAUUUUUACUUUUACAUUUACAAUACAAUUUUUAACAUUUACAGUUACAAUAUUUUUCAUGAAAUUUUCAAGCUAGUUUUAGGUAGUCCUCCAUUUAGUCCUGCUCCACUUAGAUGACAGCUUGAAAUCCAAAAUAUACAUUACACUUGACAUACUAAUAACUAAUAACGAAACAGUAGGCUUGAUAACAAACCUGUUCCUUUUGCCUUUUUUCCUCUCCACAUGAGAGUUUCUUCACCCAGAAAUGAAACUGGUGUAACUAAAACAGUCCUAACUGUCUGAGCUGGUAGAGAUGCUUUGAGGUAUGUACCACAGUCACUGUGUUUCAGAGGAGAUCUGUCCAAGAUGCAAGGGGACUCUCCUCCAUUUGUCUGUGGUUAUAUCACUAGUCUACAUGGCUAGAAUUUUGAAGCUGCUGUUUGACUUUUUGUUGUUGUUUGUUUAUCCUCAGCAUUUGAGGCUUUAAUAUUGAUUGAUGGUGUGGUUAAUCUUGAAGGUGAUACCUGAGCUACAAAUAUCAGACUCAGAUGCUGGUGACAUUAUUACUGAUGUCAGUGUUAAUGAACAGUUUUAAUUCUUAUUGAGCUUCUUAUCAACAAAAUAUGAGAAGAUUGCUUCCCGUAAAGAGCUACACAAGUUCAUGAAGAGUCCCUUCAGCUCUAUGCCAAGACUGAGUGUUUCCUAUUCACAGUGGGAUACCCGUUGCCAUUAGGCAACAGAACUAUGUUCAUAGAAUAGGUUCUGUAUUUUGAUACAUAGAUCCUUUUCAGUAGGAUCUAGAGGAUAGCAUCAAUACCUAGAAGAUGCACUGAGUACCCCACUGGAAAUAUUCUGAGAAGGAAAAUAGUACUGAACCAAAAAAGCUCUUAAGGUCUGAUCAGCUUAAAUAUUAUCAAAGGAGCUGUUCACCAUUGAGUAAAACCAUCUGUUCCUGAAAGCAUCUGUUCAUGCUGAGGAAGUUUACUGAUAAACCUCUUGCAUAUAUCAUGACUGGGACGGUGAAGAUAGGUCAGACCACUGGAGGUCAAUAUGACUGUGUGUGUUCUUGCUGAGUAAACCAGGCCAGAGGAUUUUCCCCACUAGUACCUGCAGUGAACUCAAUGACUUCUCUCUUCAAAAGGAAUUCCGUUUCACCUAAAAGAUGGAUAUUCCAGAAAAGCAGCUGUUUUCUUCCAUCUUUAACACUGUUUCUUGUAUAAUUCUUUUAAGUAGGAUUUAAGGUGUAAUCGUUUUUCUAAUGACAAUAUUAUCAGAAUCAGCCCCUCAAACUUAAGCAUGGUUGUGUUUUUUAAUGGAAAUUAAAAAUAUAUUAUCCUUCUGCCUAUAGAAGUGUUGUACUUGUUAUUUUAUACAGCAUUUUAUGUGUAGUGUUUUACAAUUCCAUUUAGCCUAUGCAACAAUACCAUCAGUUUUGCAAUACUUAAGAAUUGUGCAAGUGACAGUAAAUUGGAUUUUAUUUUUUUGAGAUAUGCCUCCUAUAUCAUCACAGUUUUGGCAAAUUAGAAAUCUGGAAAACAAAAAAAAAAGAACGUGUUGGAAGCAAAAUGUCUUUAUUUUAGAGAUUUAACUUUGGACUUAAAUAACAUUUUGUUUAAAAUUGAAACAAUUUAGAAAAUGUCAGAAUGAGUUAAGUGGGGAUGGGGAGUUGCAUCAUUGCUUUUGACUCAGACAAUUCCAUGUACUUAAAAGAAAUUCACAAAAUGUUCCAGUUUAAUGCAAUCUGUAUGUUCUACCAAAAAAGUUUCCUCAAUUACUUUCUUCCAAACUUAUUUUAGCUACAGGGCCUGCUGGGAAUACUUCUAGCACAAGUCACCAGGCGAAGUUGCUAUGUAUGUCUAUUUCUUUUUUGCUGUUUUGGGGAACAUAAGAGGAAUUUUAUUUAAGAAAGCUUUUAUUUUUUCAUUUACAAUUUUUUCUUAGUAAUGUUGAAAAAGCUCUGCCCUUUGAAGUGAGAAGAGUGCAGGUGAAAGUGUUUGCUGUGGUUUCGUGUGGGCUGAGAUUUCUGGUAAAGAAGACAGCCAAGAAGGACAAACACCGUACUCAUACUGCUACAGAUAAGUAGGGUGGGAACAGCUCAUGUCCACACUGCUUAGGGCUAUCAUUCUUUAGACUAGCAUUUAAUUCUUCAUGCCCUGGAAUUCUCCGUACCCCCAUGGCCACAAAAUAUAACCAUUAUUUUCGGGAGGAUGAGGGACAUUACUGACCAAAGUACCUGAAGUAACAUGAAGGAGAGCUAUGCUGCAUCUCACCAAAAUGAUCUUUUUAUACAAGGAUUCUGUGGGUAGAUGUUGCAUGCCACGGGAUGUUGUAUGCUUGCCUGCUCCUGUUCAGGAUGGCAACGUGUGUGUAUAUUCAGUUCUGUGCGCUCACGUUCUGUAGUGCUGAUUUCUGCUAUGUUGGGAAGCAAAGAGAUGAGAAUUGUCCCAGAAAUCAGUCAUUAAUAUUUACUCCCCAAAUAAAUUAGAGUAUUUGCUUAUUUCAUUUGAUUUAAAAAUUCAUUAAUCCCAAAUAUAUACUUGUGCUUUGUAUCUGAAAACCAGACUGAUAUUACUAAGAGUCUAAGUUUGCUCCUUUUUACUGCGUAAGAUGAUAAUGGAUAAAAAGAAUUGGGGAAUUUUUCCUUUCAUUUUUCAUGGAAUGAAAUUUAUUUUGGUGUAGAUGGCCAAUGAGAUCUUUGAGGAACAUACCACUUAAUUUCUACUUCAAGAGCUUCAGAAGAAGCUCUUUUUUUUUUUUUUUUUAAUCUUUUCAUGGAUGAAAAGAGGCAUGGUUGCCUCUCAGAUUGUUUUUGAGAAAGGAAUACACGUGUGAGUAAGGGCUAGAAGAACAGGCUGGCAUUCGGAGGAUCCUAAUGGUGAUAAAAUUGUUGUUCUGCAAUCAGAAAGUUAGAUCAGCAGAGUGGAUUUUCCCCGUCUUUCUUUCUUCUCUAAAGAACAUUCUUUGAGCAUGUCUGAAAGGAGUAUGGCUAACUAAUUCAGCUAAUUGACAGUUCCUGACUCUGCCAAGUCAGGUUUGUUACUAAAUGGCAUGAUUUAGGGCUGUCCUUCAUGCCUGUUUCCCAUAUCCGCGUUGGUGUCUGCCAAGAGCUGAAUAAUCUGGCCAUAAGUAAUGAAAACAUGCUUUAUAGCUUUCAUUUCAUUUUGCAAUAUGCUUUUGUCAUAUUCUUUUGUGGCCUUAACUGAAAGAGAAAAAUCUUGGGAGAACAAACAAAACUUACGGUGUGUCCUGGGAAUGAACACUUCCAGAGGUUUUUGAAUUGGUUGAGAUCUGAAUUAGAGGCUGUGAAUCUACUGGGAAUGCAAGGCAAUGAAAACAAACAAAAUGCAAUUAAAUUGGACCCUCUUAGCUUGAGCACUGUCUGUAAUCUCUGCUGUAAAUUUGUACCACUGGUGAAGAGGCAGUCUCAGAAGUAAUUCUUACCGUUUAAGGCUUUUAAGGUUAAAACCAGCUUUUGCUCAUAGAGCAAGGUACUAGCCAGUGAAGGCAGGGAACUAUGAGAAUACAUUCCCUACAGAGGAAUAUCCAUAUCCACAAGCACUGACCCACUGUGUAACAACUGCAAUUUUAGGGGUUUUGGGAGUGCAUUACAGCACUCCUGUCUCUGAGUGAGAAGGGCAGGGACACAGUAAAACUACAGAAGGUUGUAUCAGGGACGCCUUCUGCAAGGUGUUCCUCUUUUCUAUCUGGAAUAAAUUUGAAGAUCAUACAUUUCAGGUCAGACAUCUGAUUUUGAGUAUCAUUUAUCUUUGAGUAUCAUUUAUCUAUGUUAGUUUCUCCAUCAUCUGUUCUGAGUUCCUUCAGUGUCCAUGAGUAACAUUCUGGGCUGGCAAGCCGGGUGCCCUUCCAGGGAACCGUUCCCAGCCAUAGUUCCUGGACUAAUUUUCUGAUCUUCCCAAAAUCUCUUUGCUGUUUCUCUAAGUUAGGGCUUAAAAAUGCUCAUAAGGAAUUACUGAAAUUUUGAUCUUGCGAUAGCCAAGCCUUUUCUGUUGGCACUACAAAGAGAUUUUUUUCUCCUUUAGACAGCCAUAUGAUAUCAACACAGCAUACCUUCUAACUGCAUGCAAUGAUUUUUGCCAAAGGAAACAUACCGAGUCGAGCUUCACCCACCCAGCGGAGUCGCUGAGUCCGAGCACUGUAUCAGCCAUCCAGCAAAGAAAUCGAAGACAUGAGAGAUGGAAGAAACAAUUGGUCACCUAAUCUCUUUUUCUGUUUUGCUGGUCCUGUUGCCAGGGAGAUAUUGUAUUAAAAGGAGUGGCCCACAUAUUCACUUCACUUAUAAACUGCCUCAUUGUAAAAACAGCAUUUAAAAAUAAAGUUUAAAAUAAAGUUUAAAAAUACUUGUGGA